AGGAUAUGUUAUUUAAUCAGAGUGUCUGGAGCUUAAAUUUGAAUAGUGGAUAAAAUUUCCUUCUAUAUUAUUUGCAAAAGUAGGCUCCACACCCAAGCAUGGAGCCCAAUGUUGGACUUGAACACACAACCCCAAGACUGAGACCUGAACAGAAAUCAAGAGUUGAACGCUUAACCAACUGAGCCACCCAGGCGUCCCAAAAAGGAUUUUUCAAAGGUUUAUGAAAAUGUGACAGUUUUCUCUCAUUAACUCAUUAACUCCAUACAGGGUAUGAUCACCUGUCUUUCUACAUCAGGUGUGACCAUGUGACUAUGUUCCAGCCAAUGAGAAGCAAGCAAAAUUGAAAUGUUGAAUGGGGCUUCCAAGAAGUCUUUUAAAAUGGGGAGAAUGCAUUUUUUUUUUCCCCACUGCUUUUUCCUUUCUGCAGCCUGAGAAAUUGAUGUAAUCCGUGAAUCUUCAGCAGCUAUCUGGCCAAGAGGUAGGAGCCAGUGGCUGAGGGAUGAUGAGGUAGAAAGAAAGGAAUCUGGGUUCUUAUUGACAUCCUGAGGCCUCUAUAUCAA